rnacentral:rRNA from 2 species
GGCGUUAAGUUGCAGGGUAUAGACCCGAAACCCGGUGAUCUAGCCAUGGGCAGGUUGAAGGUUGGGUAACACUAACUGGAGGACCGAACCGACUAAUGUUGAAAAAUUAGCGGAUGACCUGUGGCUGGGGGUGAAAGGCCAAUCAAACCGGGAGAUAGCUGGUUCUCCCCGAAAGCUAUUUAGGUAGCGCCUCGUGAAUUCAUCUCCGGGGGUAGAGCACUGUUUCGGCUAGGGGGCCAUCCCGGCUUACCAACCCGAUGCAAACUGCGAAUACCGGAGAAUGUUAUCACGGGAGACACACGGCGGGUGCUAACGUCCGUCGUGAAGAGGGAAACAACCCAGACCGCCAGCUAAGGUCCCAAAGUCAUGGUUAAGUGGGAAACGAUGUGGGAAGGCCCAGACAGCCAGGAUGUUGGCUUAGAAGCAGCCAUCAUUUAAAGAAAGCGUAAUAGCUCACUGGUCGAGUCGGCCUGCGCGGAAGAUGUAACGGGGCUAAACCAUGCACCGAAGCUGCGGCAGCGAACGUAUCACUUAAAGCGAUUCAGCGGGUUACGAUUGACGGAGCGAAGCGACGUCAAAGCGUAUACAAAGUCGAGUCGGUUUAAGGAUACGUUCGUUGGGUAGGGGAGCGUUCUGUAAGCCUGUGAAGGUGUGUCGUGAGGCAUGCUGGAGGUAUCAGAAGUGCGAAUGCUGACAUAAGUAACGAUAAAGCGGGUGAAAAGCCCGCUCGCCGGAAGACCAAGGGUUCCUGUCCAACGUUAAUCGGGGCAGGGUGAGUCGACCCCUAAGGCGAGGCCGAAAGGCGUAGUCGAUGGGAAACGGGUUAAUAUUCCCGUACUUGGUGUUACUGCGAAGGGGGGACGGAGAAGGCUAUGUUGGCCGGGCGACGGUUGUCCCGGUUUAAGCGUGUAGGUGUGUGUUCCAGGUAAAUCCGGUUCACUUUAACACUGAGGCGUGACGACGAGGCACUACGGUGCUGAAGCAACAAAUGCCCUGCUUCCAGGAAAAGCCUCUAAGCAUCAGGUAACAUCAAAUCGUACCCCAAACCGACACAGGUGGUCAGGUAGAGAAUACCAAGGCGCUUGAGAGAACUCGGGUGAAGGAACUAGGCAAAAUGGUGCCGUAACUUCGGGAGAAGGCACGCUGACACGUAGGUGAAGUGAUUUACUCAUGGAGCUGAAGUCAGUCGAAGAUACCAGCUGGCUGCAACUGUUUAUUAAAAACACAGCACUGUGCAAACACGAAAGUGGACGUAUACGGUGUGACGCCUGCCCGGUGCCGGAAGGUUAAUUGAUGGGGUCAGCGCAAGCGAAGCUCCUGAUCGAAGCCCCGGUAAACGGCGGCCGUAACUAUAACGGUCCUAAGGUAGCGAAAUUCCUUGUCGGGUAAGUUCCGACCUGCACGAAUGGCGUAAUGAUGGCCAGGCUGUCUCCACCCGAGACUCAGUGAAAUUGAACUCGCUGUGAAGAUGCAGUGUACCCGCGGCAAGACGGAAAGACCCCGUGAACCUUUACUAUAGCUUGACACUGAACAUUGAGCCUUGAUGUGUAG